UAGCUAGAGGCAGUAAGAGCCUACGGCAAAGCUGGGGGUACUUCAGUCUAUCCAGGCUAGUGGGAAACAUGAUCAAGCAGGGAUAAUUGGUGGUUUACACUCAAAACUCUUGGAAAAUCAUUUCGUCCCAUAUUGCCAAAGUGCCCUUCAACACCUUACAGCUGGAUCCAUGCAGGCAUCCCUGUUUUAGCUCAGGUAUCACAAUGCUGACAGCUGUUGGAAGAAGAUACAUGGACCUGCAUAAUGCUGCUGCUGCAGGUGUGUGUCCAAGACGCUCAGCUGAGCAUAUGAUACCAGUCACGGACUUUCUACAUGCUCCUCUCCUUUAACACCUUGGCUAUGUCUGACCUCUAUCACAGUAAGCUAUUUCUCUUCCUUAUAGCAGGUGAUCUAGUCUUCUCAUUGGCAGAUAAAUCCAACACAGCCUUGCUUAAUUUCCCACUCUCCCACCAAUAAAUCCAGCUUUGUGUGUUUUUCUCUUACCUCUGAGAAAAAUGUAUCUCACUGUUCAUUCACUAAGCUUUCUUACUUGAAAUUUACCAUGAA